rnacentral:lncRNA from 1 species
CAGAUGAGUCUUCAAAUUUUGUAUCAAGACAGAUUGAAGUGGUGAGGUCUGAACAUAAUGCUGCAAUUUUCCAGGCUUCAUGAGCAUGAGGAAGAGGACAUAAAGUCUGGUAAAUUCCCAAUAUCCACUUUCAAUGACAGCAACUUGCUCAAUGCUCUACGUUCUGCUAUUAAUCAAAAUCUGUACAGCAAAAUUUCAUGCUGUAAGACUUGUAGCAACUUGACCAUAGUAGAUGAAACAAUUUAAAUAUUUAUCUAGGGCUUUGUGUUGGUCACACACACACAAAUUUAACCAAGGGUCCCAUAUCAUAAUAUUUUCAGUGCUUUUUGGCAUACAGAAACAUGGACAGAAGACAUGGAAACAACCCUUAAGGAAUAAUACUUAGCUGUAGCCAUGCAAUACAAAAUUAUACUCUCUGUCAUCAACAUACAAGUGAUCUCUUUACAAAUUUUUUCUCAUUCAAGUUGUACACAUUGUUGGGAAAUGUAAUUAAAAGUGAAAUUUUCUCCAACCCAGUAAAACUCUAUACCAAGUAGGGAAAGGAAAACAAAUUCUUUCUGAAUAAGCUUAAACCAGAAUGUGAUACACAUCACAGGAAAUUGGCUGAAAGAUUGCAAAAACAGGAAAUCUCACCCCUUUAUAUAGUCAAGUAGGUAUAACCCAUUAAAUACCUGUUCUUGAGAUAAGUAAUCACUAGUCCUCAGGUAAGACUUGACAAUACCACCUGUCACACACAGUUAUAUUACAUUCACUUGGUGGUUAGAGUGACCAUCUGCAUUAGCUAAUUGGCUUUGUCAAAAGGAAAUAUAAACGUCUCAUAGGUUUGUAACAAGAGGUAGUUUUGAAACUGGAAGUGAGGCAUCAGCUAAACUUAGGCUCCUACCUUUCCACAGAAACUCGGAGAUAGGGGUACUAUCUUCCUUGAUGAUUACAUGUUGAAGAGAUGGAUCCUGGGGCCUUGAGAAAGACAUUCCUGGGUUGUAAGCUUGGAGGAGAGGCUUAUUUAACUUUUUAAAAGAUUUCCGUAUGUUUCAAAAAGAAGGAAAAAGAAUUUAAGAUUACCAAUUUUCUAAAGUAAUUCUAAAAGGCCAGUGAGUCUCUUCCCCUUUUUUCAACAGGGGAAAUUCUUAAUUUGCAUUUGCCCACAGGUAUACAUCCAGUACUGCUGUUGUGACAACCUCAGGGAGAGCCCGCGUGAGCUCUCACAAAGGAAGGCAAUGUCAAGGUUUCCAUUAGGCUAGUGUUCUUGGUGUCUGUCUGUGGUCCGGGUACUCUGAAUUCUUCAUGCUCUCGAAAUACUAUGUCUCAGCAAAGAAUUCAGUGUUUUAUUUCAGUUUAUUCUGUUUUUAAAAAAUUCUGCAGAUGCAGCUUCUAUACUCUAAGAAUGCUCUGGCCAGUUUGUUCUAAUUUGCAGUUUCUAAUCAACUAGUAAGAUAACAAGAACUGCUAUUACAGCUCUGAAAAGCUUCAUCUACUUCAGAGAAGUUUAUAUUUUGUGAGCAUAAUGACAAAUCUAACAUUUACCUACCAUAUAUAAUUAAGCAUGCAUGCAUAUUAUGGAUAAUUUCAGCUUAAUAUUGAACAUACUUUUCAUUAAUAAAACACAACAGUACUUAAUUAUAAUGGUAAUCUAAAGAUCACUAAUAAGAACUUUCCACCUGUGUGUGUACAUGUGAAGAGGGGAUAUUUGGAACUGAUUAUAUUCGUAGAUUACAAUAGAAAGAACACAAUAGGGUAUGAAAAGGUAAGAUGAUCUUGCUAACAAAGUGCAGAUUUGAGGGGGUACAUCUUUACAUUUUAGUCCCAGCUUGACCACAGAUCAGCUAUGGUAUCUUACCUAGGUCAUUUACAUACCCACACCCCAAAUGCAUACACACACGUGUUCCAUGAGGCUUGGUCUCUUUUUUUGUCAAAGGGAAAAAAAAAAAAAAAAAA